rnacentral:rRNA from 1 species
ACCCGCUGAACUUAAGCAUAUCACUAAGCGGAGGAAAAGAAAUUAACUAAGAUUGCCUCAGUAACGGCGAGUGAAGCGGCAAGAGCCCAAGCUGGAAAUCUUCACACUGCGUGUGACGAAUUGUAAUCUAAAGAGGGUUCGCUCAACGGGCGGUGGCGCAGAAGUGCCUUAGAACGGGCCGCCAGAGAGGGUGACAGCCCCGUAUGUGGUGCCACUGCUUAACGAGCGGGUCCCCGAAGAGUCGGGUUGUUUUGUAUUGCAGCCCUAAGUGGGAGAUAAACUUCUUCUAAGGCUAAAUACCUAUGGGAAACCGAUAGCGAACAAGUACUGUGAAGGAAAGAUGAAAAGAACUUUGAAAAGAGAGUCAAAAGACUUGAAAUCGUUGAGAAGGAAGCGGUAGAAAUUUAUUCUUCGGCGGUGAACGGUGACUUCUGCCUAUCCAUUGCCGGCUGCCAGCACUUCAUAAGGCUGCGGCUGGCACAUGGGGAAGCGGCUGGCUUGUUCUCCGUCGUGAGGCAAAAUGAGGUCGCACAUCCGCAGAGGCUCCCCAAACCUGGCCCGAUUCGUUGGGUAGUUUGGGGUUCGCCGGUGGGCGUGCGGCCUGAGGGUGCUUCGUGCGAUUUCGCCAAAAUGGUUUU